AGAGUUUGAUCAUGGCUCAGGAUGAACGCUAGCUACAGGCUUAAUCAUCAUGCAAGUCGAGGGGAAACGAUAGAGAAAGCUUGCUUUUUCCUAGGCGUCGACCGGCGCACGGGUGAGUAAUCGCGUAUCCAACCUGCCCACCACUUGGGGAUAACCUUGCGAAAGUAAGACUAAUACCCAAUGACGUCUCCUAGAAGACAUCUGAAAGGGAUUAAAGAUUUAUCGGUGAUGGAUGGGGAUGCGUCUGAUUAGCUUGUUGGCGGGGUAACGGCCCACCAAGGCAACGAUCAGUAGGGGUUCUGAGAGGAAGGUCCCCCACAUUGGAACUGAGACACGGUCCAAACUCCUACGGGAGGCAGCAGUGAGGAAUAUUGGUCAAUGGGCGAGAGCCUGAACCAGCCAAGUAGCGUGCAGGAUGACGGCCCUAUGGGUUGUAAACUGCUUUUAUAAGGGAAUAAAGUGAGCCUCGUGAGGCUUUUUGCAUGUACCUUAUGAAUAAGGACCGGCCAAUUCCGUGCCAGCAGCCGCGGUAAUACGGAAGGUCCGGGCGUUAUCCGGAUUUAUUGGGUUUAAAGGGAGCGUAGGCCGGAGAUUAAGCGUGUUGUGAAAUGUAGAUGCUCAACAUCUGCACUGCAGCGCGAACUGGUUUCCUUGAGUACGCACAAAGUGGGCGGAAUUCGUGGUGUAGCGGUGAAAUGCUUAGAUAUCACGAAGAACUCCGAUUGCGAAGGCAGCUCACUGGAGCGCAACUGACGCUGAAGCUCGAAAGUGCGGGUAUCGAACAGGAUUAGAUACCCUGGUAGUCCGCACGGUAAACGAUGGAUGCCCGCUGUUGGUCUGAAUAGGUCAGCGGCCAAGCGAAAGCAUUAAGCA
rnacentral:rRNA from 1 species